UGCUUCACCACUUCCUGGCUCAGUGACUACAUCCAAAAGUUCUUUCAAUGCUUUGAGCCUUAGUUGUCACUAAUAAGUAAUAAUACAAGCCACCUACUGGGCUAGACUCUCCGUGUGCAUUGCAUCUAAUUCUUAAAAAAACUCUAACAGUUUGUCAAUGAGACACAGGCGCCUCGGCAAGGAGGUGAAAGAGAAGGACAGGUGGACAUGUAAAGAAGAGGCCAUGAGUUCUGGUCUCUUUCGGAAGAGACCCCUUGGUGAUAGAAGAAAGCAAGUCAUGUCAACAGCAGAGCUGGGGAAUCUUUUCCUGCUGUUCCAGCUGUGCUUAUCAGAGGCCUCUUCCCUUCCC